CGGGGCGUGGCGCAGUCUGGUAGCGCACUUGCAUGGGGUGCAAGGGGUCGCAGGUUCAAAUCCUGCCGUCCCGA
rnacentral:tRNA from 2 species